UACGUAGGGUCCGAGCGUUGUCCGGAAUUAUUGGGCGUAAAGGGCUCGUAGGCGGUUUGUCGCGUCGGGAGUGGAAACUCAGGGCUCAACCCUGAGCGUGCUUCCGAUACGGGCAGACUAGAGGUAUGCAGGGGAGAACGGAAUUCCUGGUGUAGCGGUGGAAUGCGCAGAUAUCAGGAGGAACACCGGUGGCGAAGGCGGUUCUCUGGGCAUUACCUGACGCUGAGGAGCGAAAGCAUGGGGAGCGAACAGG
rnacentral:rRNA from 1 species